CGCAAUGCGGCCCCUCGGCCGGCCAGGUUCCGAGUGUGCGUCUUCGGGAAACUUAUGUGCGCUAGUCGGUUCGCUCGAUGCCUGGGCUUGUGGGUCGAAUUGAGGUGCCGGAGUCUGCCACUGCCUAGCGCGCCUGGCGGGAGCCGCCGGCGUUGGCCACCCGCCGCCUGGGUGUGUGCCCCAGUGACCACAGGUGCCCCGGCGUCAGUUCUGGAAGAAACCUGAGAGCAGGGUGGCUUGGGUCGUGGGAGCCAUGGUGAAGACGAACAGUGUCCCUGACGGGUGGAAGACUGUGACGCCAUUGGACAUCCUCUACCUGGAACCCAAUUUAUUGCUUUUAAAGUUCCUUUAAAGGGAGUAGUUAAUCAGAGACUUAGUCCAACCCAGAAGUUUACACCAAAAGACUUAAUUAGUGCAAUAAAAGCACUAAAUGUGGAGCUUGGAUUAAUUACCGAUUUAACAUACACCACAAGAUAUUAUGAAGUUAAGGAUUUGCCUAAGAGUAUUCAUUAUAAAAAAAACUUUACACUGUUGGACUUGAAGUCCCUAAUAAUGCUACUAUUCUGCAGUUCAAAAAGUGGGUCAGAAAGUUCCAUUGGGAAAAUGCAGAAAAUGAAAAAAUACCUCCACAGUAUGGAUGGCUGCCACAACAGACUGAUGAUAAACUUAUUGGAGUUCAUUGUACUAAUGAAAUUAACAGAACAGGAUGUCUUAUAUGUAGGUACCUUAUUGAUGUUGAAGGCUGGGAUCCAGAUAUAGCAAUUCAAGCUUUUGAUAAGGCCCAGGAUCAUCAAAUAGAUGGAUGUGCAUGCUUGAAGAAUCUCAAAACUCGGCCCAUGAGAAGGAGGAAACAGAUUUCAAUAACAAAGUACCUGGAACAAGACCAAGACUAUUUCACGGUCACCCCCCUCACAGUGACUUCCAUGAACCAGAUGCUGAAGAUGAUUUUGAUUUUGUUAGCAAGCUUUGUGGACAAAGGAGACAUUCUGUUCAGAACCAUCAGGCCUAUAGUAACUUUGGGAACACUUUCCAACAAAAGAUUUUGGUUUUGUUAACAGAAGCCGGGGACAAAAACGACGACCUUGUCUAACCACCAUGAAUACCCACCUCAUGGUGAUUUUCAGGACCAGGACUUACCUGUGCAAGGUUUUAAUUACCUCAAUACAGGUGGUUUUCAAAGGCAAAAACCUUUCCGCCAGCACUGUUCUCAUGAUGAAAUGAAUUUGGAAGAUGUAGAAUAUGCUGAUGAAGCAUCAGAGCACACACUGGGACCUUUACGUGACCAUUCCAACAAUGACUUCUCAGAGAAAUACCAUUGAAAAUGUUCAUAGAAGUCAUGGGCAAAGACUACCACCCUUUCAAAAGUUUCAAAAACAAAUGAAGUUAAGAAGUUUUGAUUUCAACAGCAGAACCAGACCAAGGCAAGUGUCCUACUGCAACAGCCAGCCUAGUGAUCCACAAGAACAGAUGCUAUUGGAACAGCUGGACUUUGAACAGGAAACAUCUUUACAAAGAUCAAGAUCUUCUCAUAACCAUGCAACUCCUGAUAACAUAAAUCCUGACUGGUAUUUAGAUAAGUGGAAGCAUCAGGAGAGCACUGACCCCACUGAAAUUGAAGUGCAAGACAAGGAGGAGAAAGGAUGAAGAGGGGCCUAUAAAAUGUGUCUACCUCGUUUCAGGCAAAGUGCAUCCUUCUAUGCAAUUAAAGACCUUAACCCUCGGUUUACGUUCACUGUGUUUCCUCAUGCAGUGAUUCUGUCUGCCUUCACCAUUUGACCGCUGACUGAUCUUUCCAGAAGAUAAUCAAAGAAUACAUCCUUCAAAUGGAUUUAACUGCAGGAGACAGAGCAUAUUCACGCCAUAUUCUUCACAGGGACUUGAAUUUUCACGUGUAUUCCAAGAAGAUGGUUCAGUUGACUAUUAUAGAGGUACCAAGGGAAUGAAGAGCUCAUCUAGUUCACAAGUGGCAGAGUCAGCAUUUAAACCAGGUAUGAUUACUACAGGGCCUGUGCUCUCUCCAGGGAGCUCUUUCUGUGACAUUAGGCUGGGGCAGGAGACCUUGAGAGAAACUCUCCUGCUGGGGUCCUGAAGGAGAGUUGGACUUACUUCCUUACAGGCUGAUCUGUUUUCUGAAAAUGGGACAAAGAGUGUGAAGGCAGACAAAAGUGCUUGUUUCUUUGAAUGAUAUCUUAAGUGAUUAAGUGAGAUAAUGUAUAUAUAGUGCGUAGUCAAUAAUUGGCACGUGAUUGAUGGUAGCUAAUUUUACAAUAUACUAAACUGUGAUUAUGUUAAUGCUUAAUCUCCAGGACCAAAAUAUGACAUUUGAACAAUGAGUAGAUUAAGGGAACCUCUUCUAACUCUGCUUAUAUAUUUUAUCUUAAUCUGGAGUCAUUUAGAAAAGAAGGAAUUUGGAGUUGGGAUUCAAAUAGUCAAAAUGUGAAUAUCUUCAAUGUUUCCUGGGAUUUCUGAGUUUCUACUUCCUAAAUGUCUUUAUAGAGGAAAACCAUCAGCAGAGACAUCUAACUGCUGCUUCUCUCUCUUCUGACAUCUGAGAAGCCACCUGAGGCAAAUCCUAAUGGGAGACUACGCAACAGUCAGCCCCUUCUUCUGACUCCCAGAGUCCUGAUUUACCCAGGUAGAGGAAAGCAAUAUGCUCGGGAAAGAUUCCCCAGUUCCAGGGCAUGAACAAUGAUUAGUCUAAACCAACCAUGUUAAUCCAUUCCUCUUUAUCACAGAUUGGUUUAGAAGUGGGCAUUUCACCAGAUUCUGGCCAGUGGCAUCUGAAAUGAUGUUUGUUUGCACUUUUGUGAAAUUGGAGAGAGAUGUAUGCAAGAGAAACCUCCUCCUUUCCUGCUUUGGCUUUGCACGUGAAGAUGGAAACUUAGAGCAGUAGCUCCCAUCUUAGCACCACAAGAAGGCCAAAAAGAAAAUGAAAAAGCUGAUCACAAGUCCUGACAUUGUUAAGCUGAAGAACCAACCCUGAAUUAUCUACCUGAAGGCUUAUCAUCAUGUGAGAGAAAAAAACUUACCCCAAAAUCCCCUUCGAGUGGUGGCAAGAAAACCCCAUCAAAGGAACAUCGAGAGUAAGGACAGUAACUAGUGUUGAAGAGUUGAAGGAUGCUUUGCUGGCAUUGUUGAUAGUUUCCAGUGCCCUGGAUUUGA